GGGCCCGCACAAGCGGUGGAGCAUGUGGUUCAAUUCGAAGCAACGCGCAGAACCUUACCAGCCUUUGACAUCCCGGUCGCGGGCACCAGAGAUGGAGCCCUUCAGUUCGGCUGGACCGGAGACAGGUGCUGCAUGGCUGUCGUCAGCUCGUGUCGUGAGAUGUUGGGUUAAGUCCCGCAACGAGCGCAACCCUCGCCCUUAGUUGCCAUCAUUCAGUUGGGCACUCUAAGGGGACUGCCGGUGAUAAGCCGGAGGAAGGUGGGGAUGACGUCAAGUCCUCAUGGCCCUUACAGGCUGGGCUACACACGUGCUACAAUGGCGGUGACAGAGGGAUGCAAGGGAGCAAUCCUCAGCAAAUCUCCAAAAGCCGUCUCAGUUCGGAUUGUGCUCUGCAACUCGAGCACAUGAAGUUGGAAUCGCUAGUAAUCGCAGAUCAGCACGCUGCGGUGAAUACGUUCCCGGGCCUU
rnacentral:rRNA from 1 species